GUAUAUCUGAAAUAGUUGAUAAUUCGUUAUGCGAAAAUGGAGAAUCUGAUAUUACAACGCAUACUGUUUCUGAACAAACAAAUGGACUUACCUUGGAAGAUGAGGACAAUGCCACCGGAAAAUCAAAAAAGGAUAAUGGUGCCGAGAAAGAGUUUGAUGUUUUACCUGAUAAAGAUGAACAACCCAUAGUAAUUGGGUCCGAAAUUUCUGAAUCUGGACAUAGAUUUCCAGGUGAACAAGAAGUCGAAAUUCCUGUCAGUUCUGCCCCUCCAAAGGAAUUAUAUGGCGAUCUUAUAAUCAAUGAAAUUCCAGGCGUCAUAGAACUAUCAGACUUGACCACAAGGAGUAUAUCUGAAAUAGUUGAUAAUUCGUUAUCCGAAAACGGAGAUUUUGAUAUUGUAACGCAUCCUGUGGCUGAACAAUACAAUGAACCACAAAAAAAGUUGGAAGAUGAGGACA